AUAAUAAAAAAUAAAUAACAAAAAUAAGAAAUCAAUAAUAGAUAUUUAAAAAAUGAUAAUAAAACAUUCAAAUACAAUAAAAAAUUAAUCCAACCCAGAUUCUCCUCAGCCGAGCAUAUUUGCCUCAGCUCAGCGUCAAAGUCAGCAGUCCUCCUUGAUUUAAUACGGCGACAGCACAUUAGUGUUAUCUCCUUACGAUCUCCGUUUCCUGUUUACACAAAAACGUCUCGUAAGCGAUAGCGAGCGAUAUGGAAAUAUGCUUAAUGCCACAUGGUAUUAAGCGGCAAAUGAAAUAACGUCGAGAUAUGAACGAGAACAAUAACACUGUUUAGAAGCGCUCUACGUCAUCGGCAGAACAGAGACUUCAAAGACAGAGUUGGAUAUACCACAUGUCAUAUAAAAUAUAAUGGACACGUACUUACGUGCAUAGAGAGAAAGAGUUAGCAUGGAAGAAGAAGGGAAGAGAAAAGAGAAGAGAG